rnacentral:rRNA from 1 species
AUUGAACGCUGGCGGCAGGCUUAACACAUGCAAGUCGAGCGAGCGGCGGACGGGUGAGUAAUGUCUGGGAAACUGCCUGAUGGAGGGGGAUAACUACUGGAAACGGUAGCUAAUACCGCAUACCAUCAGAUGUGCCCAGGUGGGAUUAGCGAGUAGGUGGGGUAAUGGCUCACCUAGGCGACGAUCCCUGGCGGGUCUGAGAGGCUGACCAGCCACACUGGAACUGGGACAGGGUCCAGACUCCACCGGGAGGCAGCAGUGGGGAUCAUUGCACAAUGGUCGAAAGCCUAAUGCAGCCAUGCCGCGUGUGUGAAGAGGGCCUUCGGGUUGUAAAGCACUUUCAGCGAGGAGGCGUUACUCGCAGAAGAAGCACCGGCUAACUCCGUGCCAGCAGCCGCGGUAAUUC